AUCACUUUCUCCUCUUACUGAAAAAGAACCCUAGCAGUCUGCUAGAGAAAAAAAAACGCAGCUAGAGAGAGAGAGAAAGAGACGCCGAGAAGAACAGGGGUCUUCUUCCCCAGCUGCGUCAUGCCAGAGAGCACCACCGCAAGCUCUCCGCCGUGGGAGGAGCCGAGCCGGUCGACGAUAGAGCAAUAGCGCCACCGCCGAACUCUCCGCCUACACCACUGCGUGACCAUUGUCGCCAGAGAUGCCGAAGAUCAAAGGAGAUCGGAGGUCUCACCGUCGCAAAUGGGGACCAGGCCGCCGCCGAUCGUUAUCCAUCACCACCGAUCGAUGGUGCAGAUCGAAAGAAAAAACGGAGGUCGAUCGGCCAAGAAACCACCGCAGCACCCGAGACGCGCCGAAAGAUCUCCGACGAUUGGAGACAAAGAAAGAAGGAUAGAGAGGAAAAAGAAACUUCUUUCACAGUAAAGAAAAUAGGCUACAACAUAGCUUCCGGCAUCAAUAUAUUCCACAAAAUCUAGAAUGCAGUCUCAAAUAGUCAAAUACCAAAAAGUUAAUGUGCAGAAGCUGGUGAUUGAGGGGGAAAAACAUGGAUGAUUCCCAGGGGUUGGCAAGCUAUGGAGUCCGGAAAGACUCUUAACAUUCAAA